AUGCAGUCGAACGGGAUUAUUUUUGUAGCAAUACAGAAAUAAUUCAGUGGCUGAACUGGGUGCGUAACACGUGGAGCAUCUGCCGAAAAGUGGGGGAUAGCUCGCCGAAAUGGCUGAACUUAAUACCGCAUGUGGUGAGGGACGACAUCUUCCUGAAUCCAAAGCCGGGGUAACCUGGCGCUUUUUGAGGAGCCCGCGGCCUAUCAGCUAGUUGGUGAGGUAACGGCCCACCAAGGCUAUGACGGGUAGCUGGUCUGAGAGGACGACCAGUCACACUGGAACUGAGACACGGUCCAGACACCUACGGGUGGCAGCAGUCGAGAAUUUUUCUCAAUGGGGGCAACCCUGAAGGAUGCGACGCCGCGUGGAGGAUGAAGGCUUUCGGGUUGUAAACUCCUGUCAUUUGGGAACAAGUUGUACGUGUUUACUGCACGUGCAUUGAUAGUACCAGAAGAGGAAGGGACGGCUAACUCUGUGCCAGCAGGCCGCGGUAAUACAGAGGUCCCAAGCGUUGUCCGGAUUCAUUGGGCCGUAAAGGGUUGCGUAAGUGGCGCCGUAAGGUCGGGUGUGAAAUUUCGGGAG
rnacentral:rRNA from 1 species